rnacentral:rRNA from 2 species
UGCGGAGGAAAAGAAACUAACAAGGAUUCCCCUAGUAACUGCGAGUGAAGCGGGAAAAGCUCAAAUUUUGAAUCUGGCAGUUGUUUGGCUGUCCGAGUUGUAAUCUAGAGAAGCGUCUUCCGCGCUGGCCCGUGUACAAGUCUCCUGGAAGGGAGCGUCAUAGAGGGUGAGAAUCCCGUCUUUGACACGGACUACCAGGGCUUUGUGAUGCGCUCUCGACGAGUCGAGUUGUUUGGGAAUGCAGCUCAAAAUGGGUGGUAAAUUCCAUCUAAAGCUAAAUAUAGGCGAGAGACCGAUAGCGAACAAGUACCGUGAGGGAAAGAUGAAAAGAACUUUGGAAAGAGAGUUAAACAGUACGUGAAAUUGCUGAAAGGGAAACGCUUGAUGUCAGUCGCGUUUGUCAGGGAUCAACCUCGUUUGCGAGGCGUACUUCCUGGCAGACGGGUCAGCAUCAGUUUCGCUCGCCGUACAAGGGCAAGGGGAAUGUGGCACCCUUCGGGGUGUGUUAUAACCUUUUGUCAUAUGCGGUGGUUGGGACUGAGGAACUCGGCACGAUUCUCGUUUGUGCUUAGGAUGCUGGCAUAAUGGCCUUAAGCGA